rnacentral:RNase_P_RNA from 1 species
CGAGCCGACCGGGUGGCCGCUCUUUCCCUUGCGGGAAGAGAGGAAAGUCCGGGCUCCGCCGGGCAGGGUGCUGGGUAACGCCCAGGAGGGGUGACCCUACGGAAAGUGCCACAGAAACAUACCGCCUUUCCCUUUAGGGGAAGGGUAAGGGUGAAAUGGUGGGGUAAGAGCCCACCGGCGUAUGGGUGACCAUACGGCCGUGAAAACCCCAUCCGGAGCAAGACCAAAUAGAGGGACUGUAAGGACGCCCGGCCUGUCCCCGGGUUGGUCGCUUGAACCUUCCGGUAACGGGAGGGCCAGAUAAAUGGCCACCGCCCUUCUUCAGAAGGGUACAGAACCCGGCUUACAGGUCGGCUUGGCCC